CCUACGGGAGGCUGCAGUGGGGAAUAUUGCACAAUGGGGGAAACCCUGAUGCAGCGACGCCGCGUGAGUGAGGAAGUAUUUCGGUAUGUAAAGCUCUAUCAUCAGGGAAGAAAAUGACGGUACCUGACUAAGAAGCCCCGGCUAACUACGUGCCAGCAGCCGCGGUAAUACGUAGGGUGCAAGCGUUAUCCGGAUUUACUGGGUGUAAAGGGAGCGUAGACGGCUAAUCAAGUCAGAAGUGAAAACCCAGGGCUCAACCUUGGGAGUGCUUUUGAAACUGAGUAGCUAGAGUGUAGGAGAGGUAGGCGGAAUUCCGGGUGUAGGGGUAAAAUGCGUAGAUAUUAGGAGGAAUACCAGUGGCGAAGGCGGCUUACUGGACUGUAACUGACGUUGAGGCGCGAAAGCGUGGGGAGCAAACAGGAUUAGAUACCCCAGUAGUC
rnacentral:rRNA from 1 species